rnacentral:rRNA from 1 species
UACGGGAGGCAGCAGUGGGGAAUAUUGCACAAUGGGCGAAAGCCUGAUGCAGCUAUGCCGCGUGUAUGAAGAAGGCCUUAGGGUUGUAAAGUACUUUCAUCGGGGAGGAAAAAACAAAACUAAUAAUUUUAUUUCUUGACGUUACCCGAAAAAGAAGCACCGGCUAACUCCGUGCCAGCAGCCGCGGUAAUACGGAGGGUGCUAGCGUUAAUCAGAAUUACUGGGCGUAAAGAGCACGUAGGUGGUUUUUUUAAAGUCAGAUGUGAAAUCCCUGGGCUUAACCUAGGAACUGCAUUUUGAAACUGAAAUACUAGAGUAUCGUAGAGGGAGGUAGAAUUCUAGGUGUAGCGGUGAAAUGCGUAGAUAUCUGGAGGAAUACCUGUGGCGAAAGCGGCCUCCUAAACGAAUACUGACACUGAGGUGCGAAAGCGUGGGGAGCAAACAGGGAUUAGAUACCCGU